rnacentral:misc_RNA from 1 species
UUUCCGUAGGUGAACCUGCGGAAGGAUCAUUAUAAAUGAAAAACGAAUAACUUCAGGGAAGAAGGGAACCUGCACGGUGACCUCCCCUGUCGGGCCACCCAAUACCUUCAAAAUGCCGCCGUCCUAGCGGUGGCAGACGAAAAAAAAACAAGAAAAACAAAAUAGAAACAGGCACGGUGGCCCGUUCACCUUCACACAACCCUCCGAGUACCGCUUCCAUGUUGCUUCCCCGCAAAUCCACCUCUUUGGUGAGCCCGGGGGAGGUCCGCAUCAAAUUCACCUGAAUGUCACAGCAGUCAGACAGCCACUCAUGGAAACAAUAAAACUUUCAACAACGGAUCUCUUGGUUCCC